CCUAGCCAAUGUUGCUGUUGGAAACUUUGUGAAACAUAAAAUGUGUCAGUUGUUAAAGAAGCAGAAAUGACAUGAACAUUAGAAGUAACAUUAUUAACAUCUCCUUCAUCUCCUUGCAGUGAAUUACCCUCGCCUGGCUUCUGCCUCAUCUGUUCCAUACCAAAUUAUAUCUACACGGUUCCUGCUGUCACAUACCUGCCUCAGGCAAAGCCUCCUGUUUGGAUUUUUCAUUCUUGUAUUUAUGGUUACCAUGAGCCUUGAGCCUUCAAGACUAUCCUGCUGCUA
rnacentral:lncRNA from 13 species